UAGGGAAUCUUCGGCAAUGGGGGGAACCCUGACCGAGCAACGCCGCGUGAGUGAAGAAGGUUUUCGGAUCGUAAAGCUCUGUUGUUAAGGAAGAACGAGUGUGAGAAUGGAAAGUUCAUGCUGUGACGGUACUUAACCAGAAAGGGACGGCUAACUACGUGCCAGCAGCCGCGGUAAUACGUAGGUCCCGAGCGUUGUCCGGAUUUAUUGGGCGUAAAGCGAGCGCAGGCGGUUAGAAAAGUCUGAAGUGAAAGGCAGUGGCUCAACCAUUGUAGGCUUUGGAAACUGUUUAACUUGAGUGCAGAAGGGGAGAGUGGAAUUCCAUGUGUAGCGGUGAAAUGCGUAGAUAUAUGGAGGAACACCGGUGGCGAAAGCGGCUCUCUGGUCUGUGACUGACGCUGAGGCUCGAAAGCGUGGGGAGCGAACAGG
rnacentral:rRNA from 1 species